GGAGAAUAUUGCGCAAUGGGCGAAAGCCUGACGCAGCGACGCCGCGUGAGGGAUGAAGGUUUUCGGAUCGUAAACCUCUGUCAGAAGGGAAGAAACCGCACCGUGCUAAUCAGCGGUGCCUUGACGGUACCUUCAAAGGAAGCACCGGCUAACUCCGUGCGAGCAGCCGCGGUAAUACGGAGGGUGCAAGCGUUAAUCGGAAUUACUGGGCGUAAAGCGCACGUAGGCUGCUUUGUAAGUCAGGGGUGAAAUCCCACGGCUCAACCGUGGAACUGCCUCUGGUCCUUCUUAGCUUGAGUCCCGUAGAUGGUGGCGGAAUUCCAGGUGUAGUAGUGAAAUCCGUAGAUAUCUGGAGGAACAUCAGUGGCGAAGGCGGCCACCUGGACCGGUAUUGACGCUGAGGUGCGAAAGCGUGGGGAGCAAACA
rnacentral:rRNA from 1 species